GUCGUUUCUGUAUAUCGUUGUCCCUAUUUCGAUCUGCUCCUCCUCGCGAUGGCGACAGACUCGGAACUCCGCGACCGGAUUCGGGAGAUGAUGUGCAAGUCGGAUCCCGACGAGGUCACGGUUGGCUCCCUGUACCGAAAGCUAGAGGCGGCAUAUGGAGUUGAUUUCUCGAACAAGAAAGCGUUCGUUCGGCGCGAGUUUGCUGGUUUUCUAAUGAACUAUUUACAAUGCGACGACGACGACGGUGAUGAUAGCCCAGCAGUAAACAAGCGGAUCAAUCAGAAUCAAAGGAGUUCAACUACAAAGUUGGGGUUGUUGGUGAAGAACUAGCAGGAGUAAAAGCGAAGAAGAUGCGGUUAAAGACCAAUCAAAAGGAAAAGGAACCCAAAACUGGAGAAAACGGUUUGCUAGGCCUAAAAAAUUGUGGCGGCUUUCUCCACCGCUGGCGAAGUUUGUGGGAGUGGCUGAAGAAAAUAGAUGGGAGGUUUUCAAGAUAGUGUGGAAUUAUACUUGUGGGAAUAAACUCUUUAACCAAAACGGAGAUGUGUUCUUCGAUGAGAAACUACGUCCUAUUUUUUGUGUUGAAACCUUAAAACGCCACUUGAUCAAGGUGGAGCUGUACAAGCAAAUGGAGCCGAUUGGCGAUCCAAAUAUGAAGGAUUAUGACUCUGAAGAUGCGAGGCUUAACAGGGCAGAGUUUUAGGAAGGACUUCGAAGAUCGAGAAUUUCAGUUCCAAUUUCCGAUGCUUUAGUCGAGUUCUUUGGUACAGGAGAAAAGGAGAUGACAGAAACGCUAUUGUGAAUAGAUUAUUGGACUACGCUCAAUCAAAAAAACCCC